AUUACCUGUUAUUAAACGAUAACAAACUUCUUGAAUUUUAGUUAAUACGAAGUAAGAUUAAUGGUUUUAUUAUUCCAUCAAAUUGAGGAAAACACAUUGUUUAAUUGUAAGUAGUAACAACAUAACCACAAAAAGAAAAUUAAAUAGUGAGUUAUGAAAUGAAUUAUCAGCAAUACGAUCUCAGAAUUAUCUUUCGUAUUGAAGUUUGGUGGUUGUAGGAUAAAGAAGUCCAUGGUACAGGAUUCUGGGAUUAUCAGGAACGGAAAUCAAAAUGAUUUUUCUUCAUUAAGAUAUCUAAUCAUUUUCUUCUACAAAGGCAAAAUUCUCAAAUCUUGAGAUUAUGGAUUUUCAUCUAAAAUAUCAUUAAUUUACACAAAGGAGGGCUAUUUUCCAUUCUUAUUAUGCUAAGAUUAUCAUUUUCAAUCGCUUCAAUUGGAUAAAUAAGGAUUUGAACAAGAAAUUGAGAAAAAAAUCAAAUUGAGGUUAUCUAUCUGUCAGAGGGUCUUUAAAAUUGCUUCGUAUCGACUUUACAUGGAUUAUAUACAAUAGAAAACAUCAAGGGCCAAUAAUACAUAACUGAAUUCAUCAGUAAAUAAUAUUUUGUAUUACAAAAAAUGAAUUUAUUAUUAUUAUGAUUCAUAACAUCCUUGUACAUUCAAUACGAUAAGUCUUUAAAUUCUCAAAAUGAUGUUUUAUGAUUGGUUAUAUCAUUAAAGUAUGUAUAGUGUUAGUUGUGGUGCUAGUUCUAGUUAUUAUUCAACACUAGGUUCUUAACUUAAACAUUUUUAUUGAACUAAAAGAAGAACUAACACUAAACCAGAAUGUUUCUAGUUCAAGGUAUAGUGUUAGUUCUCAUGCUAGUUAUAGUUUUACUUAUCAUUCAGCAAAUAUACAGGUUGUUGUAUAUUUUUAUUGAAUUAAAACUAGAACUAACACUAUACUUAGAAUUAGAAACAUUCAUUCAUGGUACUUAUAAAGCUUUGAAUUGUUUAUUUGUUCAAUAGUAAAUAGUGAGGUUGGAGUAUUUAGUCUAUUGAUUUGAGUUUGAAUCCACAUUGAAAUCCACUGAGUAUAGUAACACACAUCAAUCUGUCUUUGAACUAGAGAGACUAUUAAAUAGAGUAUACCUUGAAAGCGUGAAAUUAAGGGGAUUUACAUGGGUGGUGUAUAAAAUAUAAACUAUAUAAACAGCAAAUUUGAAUAAUUUAAACAUCACUAAAAAAACAUAUGCAACCAAUUUAUUAUCACCUGUCCAAUUAGCGCUACCAGAAAUUGUUAAUCAUUAUCAAUAUACACCGAAUUUUACCAAUGUGUGUAAUUUGCAAUUCUGAAUAAUUCAUGAAAACGUCGACAAUUACAUUUAAUUUAUAAAUUAAACCCGAAUUUGAAAUAUUAAUGUUAAUAAACGCGUUUAUUUCUACAUGAGAUGUUAACUUAAGUAUAAAAAAUUUUAAA